rnacentral:rRNA from 1 species
UAGGCCUACGGGGCGCAGCAGUGGGGAAUAUUGCACAAUGGGGGGAACCCUGAUGCAGCGACGCCGCGUGAGUGAAGAAGUAUUUCGGUAUGUAAAGCUCUAUCAGCAGGGAAGAUAAUGACGGUACCCGACUAAGAAGCCCCGGCUAACUACGUGCCAGCAGCCGCGGUAAUACGUAGGGGGCAAGCGUUAUCCGGAUUUACUGGGUGUAAAGGGAGCGUAGACGGCUAAUCAAGUCAGAAGUGAAAACCCAGGGCUCAACCUUGGGACUGCUUUUGAAACUGAGUAGCUA